rnacentral:lncRNA from 1 species
CAGGCCUGAAGGUCCACACAGGGCAGGCCCCUGGCCCAGAGAGAGAACAGGUAUCUGGAACACUUCUGCCCUUAACUUUAUGCUCUCCCCAGGGACAGAGCCCUAGAGGUGUCCUUUAACCAGUAGCUCUGACGCUUCUAUUUUUCUAAAGGAGAAGGGUGGAAGAGAACUGGUUCCCGCCCUCAGACGCACCCAGUAUGACUGAGCCACAUCUUCAGAGAGGCCCCGAUCUGGAACUACGUGGAGACACAGAAGACAGGCACAGAGGGGCCCAUACACCUGAGCGAGGCCCACCCCAUCUGGGAUCCUGCAGUCUCACUUUGAACCCUCUGCCCUUUGCUCUCCCUUGGCUUCUUCUGCGCUCUUUUCCACUUCAGGACCCUUCACGUAUGCUGUUCCCUCUGCCCAGAAUACUCUCCCGCUCAUCAACUAAAUAGCCAUCAAGCUGGAGCACCUCCACCACUGCUUCCAUCUUCAGAUAAACAAGGAUCUGCCACCCCCUGCAACUCGGUCACAUUUGCCACAGUUUCAAUGGUCUUCCCUGCCAGCCAUGCAUAAGGGACCAGAGUGGUGGUGCCCGUGUCCCUGCCUCUGUGCUCCCAGAC